CUCAGGAUGAACGCUAGCGAUAGGCCUAACACAUGCAAGUCGAGGGGCAGCGAUGGUAGCAAUACCAGGUCGGCGACCGGCGGAUGGGUGAGUAACACGUAUGCAACCUGCCUUCAACAUUGGAAUAACCCGUUGAAAGACGGACUAAUGCCUUAUAACACAGGGGGCGCCGCAUGGCGAUAUUUGUUAAAGAUUUUAUCGGUUGAAGAUGGGCAUGCGCAUGAUUAGUUAGUUGGUAAGGUAACGGCUUACCAAGACAACGAUCAUUAGGGGUUCUGAGAGGAAGGUCCCCCACACUGGUACUGAGACACGGACCAGACUCCUACGGGAGGCAGCAGUGAGGAAUAUUGGUCAAUGAGCGAGAGCUUGAACCAGCCACGUCGCGUGCAGGAAAGAAUGUCUUAUGGAUUGUAAACUGCUUUUUCGGUAGAGUAAUGUGCGUCACGUGUGACGUAUUGCAAGUAUACCGAGAAUAAGGAUCGGCUAACUCCGUGCCAGCCGCAGC
rnacentral:rRNA from 1 species